GAUGAAGAACGCAGCGAAAUGCGAUACGUAAUGUGAAUUGCAGAAUUCAGUGAAUCAUCGAAUCUUUGAACGCAUAUUGCGCUCUUUGGUAUUCCGAAGAGCAUGCUUGUUUGAGUAUCAGUAAACACCUCAACCUCUUCUUGAUUUUUCAAAAGGAGGGUGGACUUGAGCUAUCCCAACAACCUUUACCGGUCGGCGGGCGGCUUGAAAUGCAGGUGCAGCUGGACUUUUAUCUGAGCUAAAAGCAUAUCUAUUUAGUCCUCGUCAAACGGGAUUAUUACUUUUGCUGCAGCUAACAUAAAGGAUAAUUGUCCUCUUUGCUGACUGAUGCAGGAUUUUACGACACUUUAUGUGUUGUUCAACUCGAUCUCAAAUCAAGUAAGACUACCCGCUGAACUUAAGCAUAUCAAUAAGCGGAGGA
rnacentral:misc_RNA from 1 species